CAAUAGCGUAUAUUAAAGUUGUUGCAGUUAAAAAGCUCGUAGUUGGAUUUCUGGUGGGAGCGAUCGGUCUGGCGCUUAGCGCGAGUACUUGCAUCGUCUCCGGCCAUCCUUGGGGAGAGUCUGUCUGGCAUUAAGUUGUCGGGCAGAGGAUCCUCAUCGUUUACUGUGAAAAAAUUAGAGUGUUCAAAGCAGGCUUAUGCCGUUGAAUAUAUUAGCAUGGAAUAAUAAGAUAGGACUUUGGUACUAUUUUGUUGGUUUGCGCACCAAAGUAAUGAUUAAUAGGGACAGUUGGGGGUAUUCAUAUUCCGUUGUCAGAGGUGAAAUUCUUGGAUUUACGGAAGACGAACUACUGCGAAAGCAUUUACCAAGGAUGUUUUCAUUAA
rnacentral:rRNA from 1 species